GAUGAACGCUAGCGGCAGGCCUAAUACAUGCAAGUCGAGCGGAGAGAGGUAGCUUGCUACUGAUCUUAGCGGCGGACGGGUGAGUAAUGCUUAGGAAUCUGCCUAUUAGUGGGGGACAACAUUUCGAAAGGAAUGCUAAUACCGCAUACGUCCUACGGGAGAAAGCAGGGGAUCUUCGGACCUUGCGCUAAUAGAUGAGCCUAAGUCGGAUUAGCUAGUUGGUGGGGUAAAGGCCUACCAAGGCGACGAUCUGUAGCGGGUCUGAGAGGAUGAUCCGCCACACUGGGACUGAGACACGGCCCAGACUCCUACGGGAGGCAGCAGUGGGGAAUAUUGGACAAUGGGCGCAAGCCUGAUCCAGCCAUGCCGCGUGUGUGAAGAAGGCCUUAUGGUUGUAAAGCACUUUAAGCGAGGAGGAGGCUACUUUAGUUAAUACCUAGAGAUAGUGGACGUUACUCGCAGAAUAAGCACCGGCUAACUCUGUGCCAGCAGCCGCAGUAAAAC
rnacentral:rRNA from 1 species